GGUUGACCUCGGAUCAGGUAGGGAUACCCGCUGAACUUAAGCAUAUCAAUAAGCGGAGGAAAAGAAACCAACAGGGAUUGCCCUAGUAACGGCGAGUGAAGCGGCAAGAGCUCAAAUUUGAAAGCUGGCUCCUUCGGGGUCCGCAUUGUAAUUUGCAGAGGAUGCUUCGGGAGUGGCCCCUGUCUAAGUGCCCUGGAACGGGCCGU
rnacentral:rRNA from 1 species